CAAAUUUUGAUCUGAAAUCAGGUAGGAUUACCCGCUGAACUUAAGCAUAUCAAUAAGCGGAGGAAAAGAAACUAACAAGGAUUCCCUCAGUAACGGCGAGUGAAGCGGGAAGAGCUCAAAUUUAAAAUCUGGUUUGCUUGCAAGCCCGAGUUGUAGUCUGAAGAAACGUUUUCCAUAAGCACUGAGGCAAAAGUCCCUUGGAACAGGGCAUCAUAGAGGGUGAGAAUCCCGUCCAUGGUCUCAAGUUGUUUAUUUUGUGAUACGUUUUCAAAGAGUCAGGUUGUUUGGGAAUGCAGCCUAAAAUGGGUGGUAAAUUUCAUCUAAAGCUAAAUAUUGGCGAGAGACCGAUAGCGAACAAGUACCGUGAGGGAAAGAUGAAAAGAACUUUGAAAAGAGAGUUAAACAGUACGUGAAAUUGUUGAAAGGGAACCGUUUGAAGCCAGUCUUACUUGCCUGUGAUCAAUUUUUGCUUCGGCAUGAAUGCACUCUCGGGUAUGGUAGGCCAACGACAGUUUGGAAUGCGAGAAAAAAAUAGAGGAAAUGUGGCCUUCGGGUGUUAUAGUCCUUUGUAAAAUAUCGUGUUCUGGACUGAGGAUCGCAGCAAAAAUGUGGGCAGGUGGAUUUCUGUGGUAACUGUCGGUUAGGACAACUUGUUGACCUAGUCUUCCUUAGCCUCACUAUUUACCUUGCUUCUAAUUUGCUUAGGUCGUUGGCAUAAUGGCUUUAAAUGACCCGUCUUGAAACACGGACCAAGGAGUCUAACAUAUAUGCGAGUAUUUGGGUGGCAAACCCAUAUGCGCAAUGAAAGUGAAAUUAGGUGCCAAACCUUCACGGGUGGCAGCAUCGGCCGGCUCUGACGUUUUAACUGACGAGUCUGAGCAGAAGCAUACAUGUUGGGACCCGAAAGAUGGUGAACUAUGCCUGAAUAGGGUGAAGCCAGAGGAAACUCUGGUGGAGGCUCGUAGCGAUUCUGACGUGCAAAUCGAUCGUCAAAUUUGGGUAUAGGGGCGAAAGACUAAUCG
rnacentral:rRNA from 1 species